rnacentral:rRNA from 1 species
UACAGAGGGUGCGAGCGUUAAUCGGAUUUACUGGGCGUAAAGCGUGCGUAGACGGUUAGUUAAGUCGGGUGUGAAAGCCCCGGGCUCAACCUGGGAAUUGCAUUCGAGACUGAAUAGCUAGGGUACGGUAGAGGGAAGCGGAAUUUCCGGUGUAGCGGUGAAAUGCGCAGAUAUCAGGAAGAACACCCGUGGCGAAGGCGGCUCUCUGGGACGGUACUGACGCUGAGACGCGAAAGCGUGGGGAGCGAACAGG